AACGGUAGCUAAUACCGCAUAAUGUCGCAAGACCAAAGAGGGGGACCUUCGGGCCUCUUGCCAUCGGAUGUGCCCAGAUGGGAUUAGCUUGUUGGUGGGGUAACGGCUCACCAAGGCGACGAUCCCUAGCUGGUCUGAGAGGAUGACCAGCCACACUGGAACUGAGACACGGUCCAGACUCCUACGGGAGGCAGCAGUGGGGAAUAUUGCACAAUGGGCGCAAGCCUGAUGCAGCCAUGCCGCGUGUAUGAAGAAGGCCUUCGGGUUGUAAAGUACUUUCAGCGGGGAGGAAGGGAGUAAAGUUAAUACCUUUGCUCAUUGACGUUACCCGCAGAAGAAGCACCGGCUAACUCCGUGCCAGCAGCCGCGGUAAUACGGAGGGUGCAAGCGUUAAUCGGAAUUACUGGGCGUAAAGCGCACGCAGGCGGUUUGUUAAGUCAGAUGUGAAAUCCCCGGGCUCAACCUGGGAACUGCAUCUGAUACUGGCAAGCUUGAGUCUCGUAGAGGGGGGUAGAAUUCCAGGUGUAGCGGUGAAAUGCGUAGAGAUCUGGAGGAAUACCGGUGGCGAAGGCGGCCCCCUGGACGAAGACUGACGCUCAGGUGCGAAAGCGUGGGGAGCAAACAGGAUUAGAUACCCUGGUAGUCCACGCCGUAAACGAUGUCGACUUGGAGGUUGUGCCCUUGAGGCGUGGCUUCCGGAGCUAACGCGUUAAGUCGACCGCCUGGGGAGUACGGCCGCAAGGUUAAAACUCAAAUGAAUUGACGGGGGCCCGCACAAGCGGUGGAGCAUGUGGUUUAAUUCGAUGCAACGCGAAGAACCUUACCUGGUCUUGACAUCCACGGAAGUUUUCAGAGAUGAGAAUGUGCCUUCGGGAACCGUGAGACAGGUGCUGCAUGGCUGUCGUCAGCUCGUGUUGUGAAAUGUUGGGUUAAGUCCCGCAACGAGCGCAACCCUUAUCCUUUGUUGCCAGCGGUCCGGCCGGGAACUCAAAGGAGACUGCCAGUGAUAAACUGGAGGAAGGUGGGGAUGACGUCAAGUCAUCAUGGCCCUUACGACCAGGGCUACACACGUGCUACAAUGGCGCAUACAAAGAGAAGCGACCUCGCGAGAGCAAGCGGACCUCAUAAAGUGCGUCGUAGUCCGGAUUGGAGUCUGCAACUCGACUCCAUGAAGUCGGAAUCGCUAGUAAUCGUGGAUCAGAAUGCCACGGUGAAUACGUUCCCGGGCCUUGUACACACCGCCCGUCACACCAUGGGAGUGGGUUGCAAAAGAAGUAGGUAGCUUAACCUUCGGGAGGGCGCUUACCACUUUGUGAUUCAUGACUGGGGUGAAGUCGUAACAAGGUAACCGUAGGGGAACCUGCGGUUGGAUCACCUCCUUACCUUAAAGAAGC
rnacentral:rRNA from 1 species